AACCGUUAAUUGGCAAACGAAUCGGAGCCACGAAGUCGUUUCGCUGGUCAAUCCAAGUUCAGUUUGGGAUAGCAAUAUCUCGGGCGUAUUCUUGUUGGUUGGCCAUUGUAAGCGUACACUGCAACCAGUUAGACAAUUGGCGAUGGGCCAAGUUGGGUAGAAGCCUCGGUGACUACUUAACGAAGUGCUUGUUUGCUCUAACUAGUAGUGAUAUUGUGUUUCUUCGGGAACAUGGUGUUGCUGGGUUAGAGUAAGUGAACUAUCACCAAAUACUGACUGGCACAAUGAAACUUGCUCUUAUGAGCGUGAUACACAAUGCGGCUACUCGUGUCUAAUGUCUACACAGUCAACCGUAGGGUUUAAGUUCGGCAUUUUUGAAUUUGGGCUUGCUUUCUACCAGUGGGGCAACUCCUGGUGUUGGUAUUGUCACCAUCUAAUCGGGUGUCGACUUGAUUUUGCGUUGUUUGGAUGUGCUACGAGUGGAUG
rnacentral:rRNA from 1 species